rnacentral:rRNA from 1 species
AGUGAACGCUGGCGGUAGGCCUAACACAUGCAAGUCGAACGGCAGCACAGUAAGAGCUUGCUCUUACGGGUGGCGAGUGGCGGACGGGUGAGGAAUACAUCGGAAUCUACUUUUUCGUGGGGGAUAACGUAGGGAAACUUACGCUAAUACCGCAUACGACCUACGGGUGAAAGCAGGGGAUCUUCGGACCUUGCGCGAUUGAAUGAGCCGAUGUCGGAUUAGCUAGUUGGCGGGGUAAAGGCCCACCAAGGCGACGAUCCGUAGCUGGUCUGAGAGGAUAAUCAGCCACACUGGAACUGAGACACGGUCCAGACUCCUACGGGAGGCAGCAGUGGGGAAUAUUGGACAAUGGGCGCAAGCCUGAUCCGGCCAUACCGCGUGGGUGAAGAAGGCCUUCGGGUUGUAAAGCCCUUUUGUUGGGAAAGAAAAGCAGCAGGUUAAUACCCCGCUGUUCUGACGGUACCCAAAGAAUAAGCACCGGCUAACUUCGUG